rnacentral:rRNA from 1 species
GGGCCCGCACAAGCGGUGGAGUAUGUGGUUUAAUUCGAUGCAACGCGAAGAACCUUACCAGGGUUUGACAUCCUGCGAAUCUCUUGGAAACGAGAGAGUGCCUUCGGGAGCGCAGUGACAGGUGGUGCAUGGCUGUCGUCAGCUCGUGUCGUGAGAUGUUGGGUUAAGUCCCGCAACGAGCGCAACCCACGUCUUUAGUUGCCAGCAUUUAGUUGGGCACUCUAGAGAGACCGCCGGUGAUAAACCGGAGGAAGGUGUGGAUGACGUCAAGUCAUCAUGCCCCUUACAUCCUGGGCUACACACGUACUACAAUGCUACGGACAAAGGGCAGCAAGUUCGCGAGGACAAGCAAAUCCCAUAAACCGUGGCUCAGUUCAGAUCGUAGGCUGCAACUCGCCUGCAUGAAGCUGGAAUC